rnacentral:rRNA from 1 species
UACGGAGGAUCCAAGCGUUAUCCGGAAUCAUUGGGUUUAAAGGGUCCGUAGGCGGUUUGGUAAGUCAGUGGUGAAAGCCCAUCGCUCAACGGUGGAACGGCCAUUGAUACUGCCAGACUUGAAUUACUGGGAAGUAACUAGAAUAUGUAGUGUAGCGGUGAAAUGCUUAGAGAUUACAUGGAAUACCAAUUGCGAAGGCAGCUUGCUACAGGAAUAUUGACACUGAGGCACGAAAGCGUGGGGAUCAAACAGG